UCGAUGGCGACCGGCGCACGGGUGAGUAACACGUAUCCAACCUGCCGAUGACUCGGGGAUAGCCUUUCGAAAGAAAGAUUAAUACCCGAUGGCAUAGUUCUUCCGCAUGGUGGAGCUAUUAAAGAAUUUCGGUCAUCGAUGGGGAUGCGUUCCAUUAGGUUGUUGGCGGGGUAACGGCCCACCAAGCCUUCGAUGGAUAGGGGUUCUGAGAGGAAGGUCCCCCACAUUGGAACUGAGACACGGUCCAAACUCCUACGGGAGGCAGCAUG
rnacentral:rRNA from 1 species